CGAGGGGCAGCAGUACUUUUCGGAGUAGCUGGCGACCGGCGCACGGGUGCGUAACGCGUAUGCAAUCUACCCACAGCACAGGGAUAGCCCGUGGAAACAUGGAUUAAUACCUGAUAACACAGGGAGCUCACCUGAGCACCUUGUUAAAGUUUUGGCGGCAGUGGAUGAGCAUGCGUCCCAUUAGCUAGUUGGUAAGGUAACAGCUUACCAAGGCGAUGAUGGGUAGGGGUUCUGAGAGGAUGAUCCCCCACACUGGUACUGAGAUACGGACCAGACUCCUACGGGAGGCAGCAGUAGGGAAUAUUGGUCAAUGGACGCAAGUCUGAACCAGCCAUGCCGCGUGCAGGAAGACGGCCUUCUGGGUUGUAAACUGCUUUUUUCAGGGAAGAAAACACUCUUGCGAGAGGGAUUGCCGGUACCUGAGGAAUAAGCACCGGCUAACUCCGUGCCAGCAGCCGCGGUAAUACGGAGGGUGCAAGCGUUGUCCGGAUUUAUUGGGUUUAAAGGGUGCGUAGGCGGCCCGUUAAGUCAGUGGUGAAAGGUAUCAGCUCAACUGAUGAAGUGCCAUUGAAACUAACGGGCUUGAGUACUGACGAGGUAGGCGGAAUUUAU
rnacentral:rRNA from 1 species